GUUGGACUCGGAUCUGCUGCUGGGUGGGGCGCGGGAUGGCGUCGUUCGCUAUGUCUGGCGUGAGGCUCGGGGUCGUGAGGCUCGGGGUCGUGCGGCCCGGCGGCUCGGCGCGAUGUGGCGGGGAGCGGAGGAGUGCGGUGGACUUGCCGUCGGUGCUCUUCAGGAGGAAGGACGCCUUCUCUCGUACUGCUCGCUCGCUCGCUUCCCCCUCCCCCUCUAUUCUUAGUCGGCUGGUCGCCGGCUCUCCUCGCUUUUCUCCCUCUGUGCUUGUGUGGCGUUUGUGCUGGCCUGGAUCCUGAGUGGUUCUGCUUCUCAUACGUGCACGCAUAUUUUUUUCUUAUUCCUAUGUCUCCUAAACUCGGAUCCUGCAUUUUGUUGCAGCGAUAUGCGUUAGUGUUAUCAGUUGCUGCAGCGAUACUUCCAAUUUCUGUGCCGAUGGGUUUCCUCGUUUUCUUCUUAUUUUGUUUCCUCGUCGUCGCAGCCUGCAAAUUGGUGGUUUCUUGGUUCUUAUCAGUGGAGCUGGCUUUGGAAUUUGCAGGCACCGUUCUGAGCUGCG
rnacentral:lncRNA from 1 species